rnacentral:rRNA from 1 species
UACGAGGGGGGCGAGCGUUGUUCGGAAUUAUUGGGCGUAAAGGGUGCGUAGGCGGCCAACUAAGUCCGACGUGAAAUCCCAAAGCUUAACUUUGGAACUGCGUCGGAUACUGGAUGGCUUGAAUUCGGGAGAGGGAUGCAGAAUUCCAGGUGUAGCGGUGAAAUGCGUAGAUAUCUGGAGGAAUACCGGUGGCGAAGGCGGCAUCCUGGACCGACAUUGACGCUGAAAACCGAAAGCUAGGGGAGCAAACGGG